rnacentral:rRNA from 1 species
UAUUCCUGACCUCGGAUCAGACGUGAAUACCCGCUGAACUUAAGCAUAUCACUAAGCGGAGGAAAAGAAAC